AGGGAAACAGCAUGAAGUCUGAAGUCAGAAAGGGAACACACCUAAGCCUACCUGGCCUUGUUUUCUGCCCUGGGCUUAGCAGGGGCUAAAGGAGAGCUGUUACAGAUGGGUGUCCCAGGCUCAGGGCAGCUGGGUCCCCUGGGGGCCGACGAAUUGAAUGAGAGUCUUAGAAAUGGCUCUGACCCUCUGCUUUGAGUACCCGGGAGGCAGGAUUCUCUCUCUCCAAAGUUUUGACCAACUGUGCUAAACCCAUUGCAUUCACUGGGCGUCUCCUUCCAGCCAGGUCACUGGGCCGAGGGAGGCGCCAGCUGUCUCCCACCCUUCAUUAGCUCAUUUUGACUGAGCUACAGAAAGGUAACGGAGGAUGUGGCAAAGGUCACAAAGUCAAGAAGUGACUUUGAGUCAAGUUGUGGAUGGAAGUGGGUGACUCAGCUUCCACACUGAUAUUCUCCUCCACACCCUCCACAUAUUUUUUAAUGCACAAAACUGUACACUAGCCCCUCUGGUAGCAUUUCUGUUGUGCACGUCGCAGGUGCUCAAAAACACUGGGCUGGGCGGGGUGGCUCACAGCUGUAAUCCCAGGGCUUGAGAGGCUGAGGCAGGAGGAUUGAGAGUUCAAAGCCAGCCUCAGCAAUUUAGCAAGGCCCUAAGCAACUCAGCAAGACCCUGUCUCUAAAUAAAAUACAAAAUAGGGUUCGGGAUGUGGCUCGGUGGUCGAGUGCCCCUGAGUUCAAUCCCGGUACCAAACAAACAACAACCACAAAAAACCACUAGUUGAUUUGAACAGUGGCCUCAUACAACUCCUGUUUCAAGCCACUAUAUUUAGUCUCUAAGUUGCUCAGAGGCUGGCCUUUGGAGUUGCCCAUUCAUUCGUCAUGUAUUCUCCAACAGGUCUGGAUCAGUGUCCAGGCUUCAUGCAAGACACAGGGCAUGAAGAGGUUAACAAGAUGCAGGGCUCAUCCUGUCCUGCGGAAAAGGGGGUUCAUCCCGCCUUUACCACUUUCUGACCUGAUGUCCUCCUGUCACUUAUUUUACCUCCCUGAGCUCAGUUUCUUCAUCUCUGAAAGGGGGAUGGAUAAUAAUAGAGCCCAACUUGUAGGAGGCUGGGAGGAUUUAGUGAUGUCAUAACAAUUUAGGGAAGCACUGGAACAGUGAAUAGUGAGCGCGGCGAUCAGUGUAAUCGCAAUCCCAUCAACAUGGCGCUGUCCAGAGAGAGACUUCUUCAGUCUGCCAAAGGAAGCAGAGGGUGCUGCUGGAUGUGGUGACCAGGUGUGGGGAGACGAGGACCUAUUAUCCAUACAUUGGUCCUCUUCAGAAGAGAUGGCCCUAAGGGCAGCAGGGGGCCUGCCCCAGGCCACUCCAGAAGACAGGGGCAGCAACAAGGUAAUCCCACCUCUGUCCUCUGUCUCCUACCCCAUUUAUUGAUAGGAAGAGGCACAGGUGGGCGGCAGCCACUGGGGAGGCCUCGUGAUAAGCAUAUGGCCUUCCAUUUCCCCUGCCUCUUGCCUGAUUUGGAGUGACGCAGCCUCCAAUUGGUAUUCUCCAUCAUGCCCUCCAUCAUUCCCAGGAGCACAGCCUGUUCCUGGGAAUUCUGAGCUAGGGAGUCUGGUUGUGGGGUUCAAUUUACUGCCCAUUUGUGCUGCCACCAUGAACACCAACUCAAGGGCAGAGGGAGGCAAUUGCAUCCUGGAUUCGUGCAUCCACUCAUUCAUUUACUUGUUUAAUUGACUUCACCAGGCAACCCUGUGGUGUACCCAGCCAUUCUAGAUCCCAAGGAUAUGGGGACAUGCAGAAGCUGCUUCCUGCCAUCACGGAGUACAUGACAUCACUGAAGACAGAAAUAAUGUGGGAUUACAUUACCAGAUUACAAAAUAAAGAUGCCAUAAUCGAUAGCCACUUAGAAAGCUUACUGGGAAAAUAGUGACAAUUGCCACUGUAGGAAUCAUACAGGUGGGGCUGGGGCUAUAGCUCAUUGGUAGAGUGCCCGCCUCGUAUGAGGUACUGGGUUCGAUCCUCAGCACCACAUAAAAAUAAAAUAAAGAUAUUGUGUCCAAUUACAACUGAAAAAUAUUUUUUAAAAAAUCAUACAGGUGUGUGUGUAGGGGAAGCUGGGGAUAUAGCUCAGUUGGUAGAGUGCUUGCCUCUCAUGCACAAGGGCCUGGGUUCAAUCCCCAGCACCACACACACACACACACACACACACACACACAUCACACAGGUGUUAGGCAAAGAAACUUCCAAAACUAUAGCACAAUGCAAAGCUUCAAUAUUUGGAGACUUUUACUUCAUUUUAAAACUGAAUAAGGAUGUCAUUUGUUUAACUGAAACACCUUUAAUACAAAACCAGUCAAAAUUCAGAUGGGAUUUUUGGUGUUGGAAGAAGUUUGACCAAAUUCUAUAAUCUACAUGAAAAUUACAUAGAAAAAUAUAUGCAAUUGGGAGUCAGCAAGAAUUUGUUUUGUUUAUGGUACUGGGGAUUGAACCCAGGGCUUAAGUAUGCUGGGCAAAUGCUUUACUACGGAGUUGCACCCAGCCCAAGUAUUUUUUUCUUUAAAGAAUGAUAAUGUCAGAAGCUUAUACUGUCAGGCACUACGAUGUAUUCCAAAGCCAUAAUCAUCAUGGUAUUUUCUUGGCAGAUUGGGGAGCAGAGUAAGUCUGAAUAUAGAUCCAUGUGAAUUUAAGAAUUUGCUUUGUGAUAGAGAAUACUCAAGUCAGUUGUUCCCAUGACCUUGGACUUCAUUUGGGGUGGACAGAGAUGAACCUCUCUUCUCCCUCCAAAGAUAUUCUUCCAGGGGCUUUGCCAGCAAGAGGCUGACUAAAAGCAAUUAGUUCCAGUGUGCCCAGAGUGCUCCCUUCCCCUAUCUUAUAUGGUCCUCAGGAGGCAGCAUGAGAUCAAAUACACUAAAAAAGUAAAAUAAAGUCCACUCUAACCCUAGGAUUAAGUUAUCCAAACCUACCAUUGCAAAUUAGAAAAAGGGAGAGAAAGUGAAACUCCCUUGAGCCCACUAUGCACAUAUAUUUAUUUUUUUCCAAAACUGAGAUCAUAAAGUGUACGCAGUUUUGUAACCUGCUGAGUUCAUGUCAUAUCAUAUAUUGUGUUUAAAUAUAUUUUAAGCCUUUGAAAAUGUAAUUUCUGAUGGCUGUGUGCUGUUCCUUAAGAGGUGGACACCAUGAUUUGUUUAAUUGUUCCCCUAAGGUUGAUUCUUUUCUAGAAGGCUAUUAUAAAUAAUGUUCUUAUGCUGUUUUUUAAAAGUUUCAUUUUUGUUCAUUUUCUUGGGCUUCUUGGGCUGGAUUCCUACACGUGGAUUCACCUGGUCAAAGGGAAGAACUGUGUUCUGAAGUCUUAAUAGAAGAUAUGCAAAUUGCUUUCCGGAAAAAAAUGAACCAACUCAGGAAGUUAGCCCUGGCUUCCUACCUUCACACCAGCAGCAGUAUUUUUAGUGUUUUUACUUUGGCAAUUUGCUAGCCUCUCUGUGUGCCAGAACUAGUGCUAACGAUUAUGUAAGGUUACCUUCACACUCUCCUGGGAGGGGGCACUCAUUUUACAGAGGAUGAAACCGUUUGAGAAGACUCUCGCCUGGCCUCAAGGCCGGGAGCCCAGAUUCAACCCGGGACUUCUCCAAGGCAGUCACCUAAUCGAGGUGUCAACGUCCUUCCGCUUGGUUGGCAGCCUGGGCUACCCGGACUCUCAACUUUCGCUCCUUGCCACCGCCUGUGCCCAUGUGGCAACAAAAUGCGUUUUUUUUUUUUUUUGUUGUUGUUGUUGCAGAUGGACACAAUAUAUUUAUUUUAUUUACUUAUUUACUUUAUGGGGUGGUGCAAAUCGAACCCAGCGCAGCACGCAUGCGAGGCAAGCGCUCAACCACUGAGCUAUAACCUCAGUCCACAAAAUGUGUUUUCUAAUCCAGAGAUUUGAUGCUGUCAUUUGCGGCCGUCACUCCCUUUCCUGCGGUUCCCUAUCCUUCAGGGAUGAUGCCCACCUCCUCAAAGUCCCCACCUUCCUGGAUGCAUUUCUUCCCAUCAGCGCCGAAAUCCCCGCCCUGGGUCCUUAAGUCCGAGCUCCUCUGGGCUGGUUCAGGUCGAGUUAGAGACCUCAGCAGCCCACUCC
rnacentral:lncRNA from 1 species